rnacentral:lncRNA from 1 species
UUUGAAUAGCAUUUGCAUUGACAUUAUCAAUAACCCUUUGGCCCUCAUUUUCCACUUCAUUUCCUCCCAUUUCAUCAUCACUGUGCAUCGUAUCUAGAAGUUGACCGUCUUCUAAGACUUCCUCUGUUUGGUUGAGCCAUAAUUUCCCUGCUAUUCAUUUUUCUUUUUCAUUGGCCUUGAAUUUGUCAAAAUCUGCAUCUUCAACAAAUGCAUUUUCUUUGUUUUUUGCUAAAUGUUGGUCAUCUUUGGUGUCCUGUGAACGAAUGUCUUGACAUGAGGUAUUGACCUGAACUGCAUUCUUUUUGAAGGUCGCCUGAACCCAUUGGACAAUUGAGUAAUUGUUAAAAUGCUGCUCUUUCCCCACCUUUUCUUGUACCCAAUCUGCUUGACUCUCUAUUGUGUUCAAGAUUUCUUUUUGCUAUAUGGUUGAAUGUAGGUCUGCAUGGUUUAGUUUCUUUGUUUGAGUGUUGGUUGGUUGUCUCCUGGAAGAGCUAGGAGAAGUUGUUUUUUGUACCAUUUGUGAAGUUGACGCAUAAAAUUCCUGUUCAUGCAAAACGUUUUCCACAUCUGUUGUGCGCUUAUUAUGCACAAUAUCAUUGUUGCUUGUGGUUUUUUGAACUGUAGAUUCCUGUACAACUGCCAGUUGGUUACCUAUAUCAUCCACAUCAUUUUCCGUUUCUAAGACUGCAAAUUGGUUAGUAUUUUGGAUUUGUUUUUUGACAUUGGAAUUGUUAGCAAUAACUAUUUCUUUACCUUGUGCAGCAGAAAUUCAGUUUGUUUUCCUUUGUUAAGAACCCUAUUGUCGCGG